GAUGAACGCUGGCGGCGUGCCUAAUACAUGCAAGUCGAGCGAACAGACGAGGAGCUUGCUCCUCUGACGUUAGCGGCGGACGGGUGAGUAACACGUGGAUAACCUACCUAUAAGACUGGGAUAACUUCGGGAAACCGGAGCUAAUACCGGAUAAUAUAUUGAACCGCAUGGUUCAAUAGUGAAAGACGGUUUUGCUGUCACUUAUAGAUGGAUCCGCGCCGCAUUAGCUAGUUGGUAAGGUAACGGCUUACCAAGGCAACGAUGCGUAGCCGACCUGAGAGGGUGAUCGGCCACACUGGAACUGAGACACGGUCCAGCCUCCUACGGGAGGCAGCAGUAGGGAAUCUUCCGCAAAGGGCGAAAGCCUGACGGAGCAACGCCGCGUGAGUGAUGAAGGUCUUCGGAUCGUAAAACUCUGUUAUUAGGGAAGAACAAAUGUGUAAGUAACUAUGCACGUCUUGACGGUACCUAAUCAGAAAGCCACGGCUAACUACGUG
rnacentral:rRNA from 1 species